rnacentral:rRNA from 1 species
UACGAAGGUCCCAAGCGUUAUCCGGAUUUAUUGGGUUUAAAGGGUGCGUAGGCGGGUUAUUAAGUCAGUGGUGAAAGCCUUCAGCUUAACUGAAGAAUUGCCAUUGAUACUGAUGAUCUUGAGUAUGAUUGAGGUUGGCGGAAUGUGUCAUGUAGCGGUGAAAUGCUUAGAUAUGACACAGAACACCGAUUGCGAAGGCAGCUAACUAAGUCAUAACUGACGCUGAUGCACGAAAAGCGUGGGGGAGCAAACAGG